rnacentral:snRNA from 1 species
GUGUUAGCUUCAGCAGCACAUAUUCUAAAAUUGGAAAAAUACAGAGAAAAUGGUCCCUGCACAAGGAUGACAUGCAAAUUCGUGAAGCAUUCCAUAUUUUU